GAUGAACGCUGGCGGCGUGCCUAACACAUGCAAGUCGAACGGAGUCCAGCCUUUAAGACCUUCGGGUCAAAGAGGGGAAGACUGAGUGGCGGACGGGUGAGUAACACGUGGGCAACCUGGCUCAUAGAGGGGGAUAACAGAGAGAAAUUUCUGCUAAUACCGCAUAAGCACACACUGCCGCAUGGCAGAGGGUGAAAAGAGAAUCGCUAUGAGAUGGACCCGCGUCUGAUUAGCCAGUUGGCAGGGUAAGAGCCUACCAAAGCGACGAUCAGUAGCCGAUCUGAGAGGAGGAACGGACACAGUGGGAAUGAGACACGGCCCAAAAUCCUACGGGAGGCAGCAGUGGGGGAUAUUGCACAAUGGGGGGAACCCUGAUGCAGCGACGCCGCGUGAGUGAAGAAGUAUUUCGGUAUGUAAAGCUCUAUCAGCAGGGAAGAUAAUGACAGUACCUGAAUAAGAAGCCCCGGCUAACUACGUG
rnacentral:rRNA from 1 species